UACGUAGGGGGCAAGCGUUGUCCGGAAUCAUUGGGCGUAAAGAGCGUGUAGGCGGCCAGAUAAGUCCGCUGUGAAAUCUCGAGGCUCAACUUCGAGCUGUCGGCGGAAACUGUCUGGCUAGAGUCCGGAAGAGGAGAAUGGAAUUCCUGGUGUAGCGGUGAAAUGCGCAGAUAUCAGGAAGAACACCCGUGGCGAAGGCGGUUCUCUGGGACGGUACUGACGCUGAGACGCGAAAGCGUGGGGAGCGAACAGG
rnacentral:rRNA from 1 species